GCAGGCCUACGGGGCGCAGCAGUGAGGAAUAUUGGUCAAUGGGCGCGAGCCUGAACCAGCCACGUCGCGUGAGGGAAGACGGUCCUAUGGAUUGUAAACCUCUUUUGUCGGGGAGCAAAAGACGCCACGCGUGGCGUUCCGAGAGUACCCGAAGAAAAAGCGUCGGCUAACUCCGUGCCAGCAGCCGCGGUAAUACGGAGGAUGCGAGCGUUAUCCGGAUUUAUUGGGGUUAAAGGGUGCGCAGGCGGAAGAUCAAGUCAGCGGUAAAAUUGAGAGGCUCAACC
rnacentral:rRNA from 1 species